rnacentral:rRNA from 1 species
GACGAACGCUGGCGGCGCGCUUCAUACAUGCAAGUCGAGCGACCGACUCCGGGUCUUCGGACCUGGAGCACGGAGCGGCGAACGGGUGAGUAACACGUGGGUAAUCAACCCUCGGUACUGGGAUAGCCCGGGGAAACCCGGAUUAAUACCGGAUAGCCUCCGGAGCCUGCGGGCGGCGGAGAAAAGGUAGCUUCAGCCUCCGACCGAGGACGAGCCCGCGGCCGAUUAGCUUGUUGGUGAGGUAACGGCUCACCAAGGCGACGAUCGGUAGCUGGUGUGAGAGCAUGACCAGCCACACUGGGACUGAGACACGGCCCAGACUCCUACGGGAGGCAGCAGUAGGGAAUCUUGCGCUAAUGCGGGCAACCGUGACGCAGCGACGCCGCGUGCGGGAAGAAGGCCUUCGGGUUGUAAACCGCUUUCAGGUGGGACGAAGCUACUCGGGUUAAUAGCCCAGAGGGUGACGGUACCUCCAGAAGAAGCCCCGGCUAACUACGUGCCAGCCGCCGCCGUAA